CUGUCUCUCUCUUUCUCCUCAGAUCUCCAGACUCAAAGUGUCAGUCCACCAGCUGAACUCUCAGUCAGACUGGUGGAUGGGACCACUUCCUGUUCUGGGACAGUGGAAGUCUUCUACAGAGGAGAGUGGUUGGGUCUAUGUACUACCUGGUGGAGCAUGAUAAAAGAGACUACGAUUAUGUGUAGAGAGAUGGACUGUGGGAAUGUUGUAGCUGAAUCUAGAGGACCUCUGAUUGAAGAUGGAAGAAGAGGAGUCAGACUAUAUAGUUGCAGGGGAAAUGAGUCUUCUAUUAGGCAGUGUGACAUCAGAAGAGGACCUGGUUUCUGUAAUGGUGUAUAUUAUCAUCAUGUGACCUGUUCAGAGUCUGUGCGUCUUGUUGAUGGAGCUGGUCUCUGCUCUGGGAGAGUGGAG